AGGCCACAUGUGAAGCCCCCUCCCACCGCAGUAUCCGCCACAGGGGAGGCGAAGGGGCUUCCUGGACCUGAGAGGGGCCUGGCCUGGCCCCUGGGAGCAUGUGCAGUGAUGGUGCUGGAGCGUGGAGCUAUGGAUGACUCAAGGGGACUAGCAAUGAAAGACCGUGGAGUUUUCACUUCCAGUGGGUAUGAAAUGUUCCUCUGAAGAUCUGUGACCUCUGCGUGUUUCCAGGACAGUUGAGGAAGAGACUAUUGGUGGCCCCUUUCACACAGCAAGCCUGUGAGUGUGACUCCCCUUAUAAAUUAAAAACACUUUUUUUUAUAUUUAACAGUAUUAUAAAUGAUGGAGGAAAAGCAGGGUUUAGGGUGGAGGCUGACAGCUUGCGACCCCCCCAAAGUAAUAACAUUUGCAACCCCCUGAGGGGUCACGACCCCCAGUUUGAGAA